rnacentral:lncRNA from 1 species
AGCCCCUGUUCCCCCCCAUGGACCCCAAUGGAUGCCCCUACUCCCCCCCAUGGACCCCAAUGGAUGCCCCUGCACCCCCCCAUGGACCCCAAUGGAUGCUCCUACACCCCCCCCCAUGGACCCCAAUGGACCCCUCCGCCCCCCCCCCCCAGGUGCUGUUGCUCUUGGCUGUGCCCCCCCCCGGCGGCUGCUGCUCCUUCGAGUUCAACCCCGUGAGCAGCACGAUCCGGGCCCACGUGGAGGCCGUGACCCCAUGGUUGCUCCUGGAUUACACCGUGGAGAUGCCGGAGAACCUGGAGCCGCUCUCCCCAUGCUCCCAGCUCUGGACGCUCCGGUUCGGGCUCGCCGCUCUCCGCUCCUUGGCCUCCCGCGCGGGGGGGGCGCUGUCCCCGCGGCUCCAGGCGCUGGCCGCGCAGCUGCACUUCCUGAGCAGCUGUCCAAUCAGCGACCCCCAGGGCUGCGCUCGCCUGCGCCCCAUGAACCUCUCCCAGCUCCUGGGGGGGCUGGAACUGCAGCUGGGGGGGCUGCGGGAGCGCCCCCCCCCACCCCACACCUGCACCCACCUGCGCUGCACCAAGGGUACUGGCCCCAUAGCGACCCCCAUAGGAACCCCAAUGGGGACCCCCUAUAGAGACCCCCCAUGGGACCCCCAUUGAUCCCCCCCAUUUCCCCCCCCCGCAGACCCCCCCGUGUCGCCCCCCCCCCGCGGCGCCCCACGGGGUCCCCCCCUCCGCCCCCCACGGGCUCAUCCUAUGGGGGGCGCUGGGGGGGGCCCUGGUGCUGAGCGCGGCUGUGUGGGGCCUGAGCAUGAGGAGAAGGAGGGGGGGCACCGAGUGCAGGUGGGGCAAUGGGAGCAAUGGGGCAAUGGUGGGGUAAUGGGGGGCAAUGGGAGGGGUAAUGUGGGGCCAUGGG